rnacentral:lncRNA from 1 species
GUGGGAAGCUCGGGGGCAGGAAAAUACUAACAAGGCGGCACUGUCUCCUUCAGCUCUGCAGUUCUCUGGGCGGGGGCUGGGGGGGAUUCACCACCCGCUGGGUGCCUGUUGAAAUGCAGGUUGCUGAGCCUGGCUCCAGUAUCCGAUUCAGAAAAUCUGCAGUGGGAUCCCCCACAUUUGGGACUUCUAAUAAAUCCCAGGUGAUGCUGCUAUUGCUGGCCAAAGGGCACCCACUUUGACAACCACGGAAGAAGCAACAAGGAGAAAGCCAGGCUGAGCACCGUCUGCUCCCCUCCCUGUUUAAAGGAUGCAGCACCCGGGAUGGCAGGAUGUGGGCCCAGAACCCAAGCGCUACCUGCCUCCGUGCUGGCUGGCCUGGGGCUGACCCAGGGAUUCCAAUCCUGAGAUCCCCACGGAGACCCUGAGACCCUGGAGAGAGGCUUCUGCUCAGAGAGAUCUGUCCAAGGAGAGAAGAAGCUGCCUCUUCUGUCCCUGUGGCUCACACAAGUCCUUUGGGAAGGUCCUUGUUCCCCUGGUCCUUGUCACAGACCGGUCCAGAGCAUUGCUUACGCUUCAAACUAAAUGUGUGACUGAUCGCAGUGGAGGCUGGACACAUCCCGAAGAGGAAAGGAUCCCUGGUCCUGGAGCUCCCACAAUCACCUGGGCAAAGACAAGUACGCCAAGGUCAAGGCCAGGCUCACCUGCUCCCCCAGGAGACUACUGACCCGGCCAAUCUUCCACUGGGCAGAGCGCAGCCCCCUGGCACAUGGGGUUGGGUAGACUUCCUGGGCCAGGGGCCUCUGCCCUACCGCCCAC